rnacentral:rRNA from 1 species
UACGAAGGGGGCUAGCGUUGCUCGGAAUUACUGGGCGUAAAGCGCACGUAGGCGGCUUUCUAAGUCGGGGGUGAAAUCCUGGAGCUCAACUCCAGAACUGCCUUCGAUACUGGAAGCUCGAGUCCGGGAGAGGUGAGUGGAACUGCGAGUGUAGAGGUGAAAUUCGUAGAUAUUCGCAAGAACACCAGUGGCGAAGGCGGCUCACUGGCCCGGUACUGACGCUGAGGUGACGAAGCGUGGGGAGCAAACAGG